ensembl:lncRNA
UUGAACAUGUUGUGGAUAUGUGGUGGUAUUGAACAUGUUGUGGAUAUGUUGUGGUAUUAAACAUGUUGUGUUGUGGAUAUGUGGUGGUAUUGAUUAUGUUAUGGAUAUGUUGUGGUAUUGAACAUGUUGUGUUGUGGAUAUGUGGUGGUAUUAAACAUGUUGUGCUGUGGAUAUGUGGUGGCAUUGAACAUGUUGUGGAUAUGUGGUGGUAUUGAACAUGUUGUGGAUAUGUGGUGGUAUUGAACAUGUUGUGGAUAUGUGGAGGUAUUGAACAUGUUGUGGAUAUGUGGUGGUAUUGAACAUGUGGAUAUGUUGUGGUAUUAAACAUGUUGUGUUGUGGAUAUGCGUUUGUAUUGAACAUUUUGUGGUAUUGUACAUGUUGUGGAUAUGUGGUGGUAUUGAACAUGUUGUGGAUAUGUGGUGGUAUUGAACAUGUUGUGUUGUGGAUAUGUGGUGGUAUUGAUUAUGUUAUGGAUAUGUUGUGGUAUUGAACAUGUUGUGUUGUGGAUAUGUGGAGGUAUUGAACAUGUUGUGGAUAUGUGGUGGUAUUGAACAUGUUGUGGAUAUGUGGUGGUAUUGAACAUGUUGUGUUGUGGAUAUGUGGUGGUAUUGAUUAUGUUAUGGAUAUGUUGUGGUAUUGAACAUGUUGUGGAUAUGUUGUGGUAUUGAACAUGUUGUGCUGUGGAUAUGUGGUGGUAUUGAUUAUGUUGUGGAUAUGUGGUGGCAUUGAACAUGUAGUGGAUAUGUGGUGGUAUUGAACAUGUUGUGGAUAUGUGGAGGUAUUGAACAUGUGGUUAUGUGGAGGUAUUGAACAUGUUGUGGAUAUGUGGUGGUAUUGAACAUGUUGUGGAUAUGUGGUGGUAUUGAACAUGUUGUGUUGUGGAUAUGUGGUGGCAUUGAACAUGUAGUGGAUAUGUGGUGGUAUUGACCAUGUUGUGGAUAUGUGGUGGUAUUGAACAUGUUGUGGAUAUGUGGUGGUAUUGAACAUGUUGUGGAUAUGUGGAGGUAUUGAACAUGUUGUGGUUAUGUGGAGGUAUUGAACAUGUUGUGGAUAUGUGGUGGUAUUGAACAUGUUGUGGAUAUGUGGUGGUAUUGAACAUGUUGUGUUCUGGAUAUGUG